rnacentral:lncRNA from 1 species
CAAGCAAUCUUCCUGCCUCAGCUUCCUAAGCAGCUGGGACUACAAGUACACGUCACCACUCCUGGCUCAGACAUUUUCUUUUGACUAUCUUCAAGUCACCCCAUCUCUUUGAAGAGUACUUUUUGAAAAUUUCGUACUUUGUUUUUUUAGAGUGACAGUCUUUUUAUUAUGUGGAGAGAAUUGCUUUGCAAAGGAGUCCAGGUCCCACCGGAAGGACCCCCUUCCAUACACCGUAGCAAUUCCGUAGCAGCCUCGACUCUCCCCUCGACGGACAGCAGAUGGCGCUGCGCUUCCCAUUUUGCCGCCUCGGUGGCGGGACAGGAAUCCAACUUUGGCAGAGCUGAGUUGAAGAUUGCAAGCGACCUAUUCCGAGCUGGAAUGCAGUGAAGGUGACCUUCUGGAUUUCUGAGCCUGGGCCUGGCAACUUCUGCUUCACUUCUUGGGAGCCAGCUGCUAUGUAAAGAAGACUGAGCAAGACAGCUGAAAGAUAUGUAGAGAGAGAAGCCAAGACAGUGCCCAGCUAUCCCAGUCACACCCACAGACUCACCACAUGUAUGAGUGAAGCCAUCUUGGACUUUCCAGCUGAGCUCCCAGCUAAAGGCAGCUGCAAGGGUGAUCCCAGCUGAUGCCAUGUGAAACAGAAGAACCAUCCACCUGAGCCCAGCCAAGUAUCUGAAGCUACAUAUGCCAGAGUCCCCCUGCUUGGGAUGGAGGAGAGCUGUUUUACUCCCAACACAGUCCAGACAAGGCUAACCAUAUGAUGCUGAUGCUGCUGGUGUAUGGAUCUUGGAUGAGGCUGCAUCUCCUGGGUGGAGGUGCUGCAGCCCAGUGAGCAUCAGGGAAGACUGGAGCACUGAUUCUCUGACUUCCUGUUGAACCACUGAUAGGAUCAAGCGGACUUGUUGGCUUAUUGGUGCUCAGAGAUAUUGAGGAUCCCCAGUAGAUCCUUUUCACAGAAUUGUGUAAAACUUCAGAACAUGGGGGGAGGGCAGCCAAGAUGGCCAAAUAGGAAUAGCUCCGGUCUACAGCUCCCAGCGUGAGCGACGCAGAAGAUGGGUGAUUUCUGCAUUUCCAUCUGAGGUACAAGGUUCAUCUCACUAGGGAGUGCCAGACAGUGGGCACAGGACAGUGGGUGCAGCGCACCGUGUGCGAGCCGAAGCAGGGUGAGGCAUUGCCUCACUCGGGAAGUGCAAGGGGUCAGGGAGUUCCCUUUCCUAGUCAAAGAAAGGGGUGACAGACAGCACCUGGAAAAUCGGGUCACUCCC